GACGAACGCUGGCGGCGUGCUUAACACAUGCAAGUCGAGCGGAAAGGCCCUUUCGGGGGUACUCGAGCGGCGAACGGGUGAGUAACACGUGAGUAAUCUGCCCUUGGCUUUGGGAUAACCACCGGAAACGGUGGCUAAUACCGGAUAUGACGGGCUCCGGCAUCGGGGUUCGUGGAAAGUUUUUUCGGCCAGGGAUGUGCUCGCGGCCUAUCAGCUUGUUGGUGGGGUAAUGGCCUACCAAGGCUUCGACGGGUAGCCGGCCUGAGAGGGUGACCGGCCACACUGGGACUGAGACACGGCCCAGACUCCUACGGGAGGCAGCAGUGGGGAAUAUUGGA
rnacentral:rRNA from 1 species